UACGGGGGGGGCAAGCGUUGUUCGGAAUUACUGGGCGUAAAGGGCUCGUAGGUGGCCAACUAAGUCAUACGUGAAAUCCCUCGGCUUAACCGGGGAACUGCGUCUGAUACUGGAUGGCUUGAGUUUGGGAGAGGGAUGCGGAAUUCCAGGUGUAGCGGUGAAAUGCGUAGAUAUCAGGAAGAACACCCGUGGCGAAGGCGGCUCUCUGGGACGGUACUGACGCUGAGACGCGAAAGCGUGGGGAGCGAACAGG
rnacentral:rRNA from 1 species